GACGGAGGAUGCAAGCGUUAUCCGGAAUGAUUGGGCGUAAAGCGUCCGCAGGUGGCAGUUCAAGUCUGCUGUCAAAGACCGGGGCUUAACUUCGGAAAGGCAGUGGAAACUGAACAGCUAGAGUAUGGUAGGGGCAGAGGGAAUUCCUGGUGUAGCGGUGAAAUGCGUAGAUAUCAGGAGGAACACCUGCGGUGUAGGCGGCUUACUGGACCAUCACUGACGCUGAGGCACGAAAGCGUGGGUAGCAAACAGG
rnacentral:rRNA from 1 species